AGUUACCAGCACGUUAUGGUGGGCACUCUAAGGAGGAACUGCCGGUGACAAACCGGAGGAAGGUGGGGAUGACGUCAAGUCAUCAUGGCCCUUACGGCCUGGGCUACACACGUGCUACAAUGGUCGGUACAAAGGGUUGCCAAGCCGCGAGGUGGAGCUAAUCCCAUAAAACCGAUCGUAGUCCGGAUCGCAGUCUGCAACUCGACUGCGUGAAGUCGGAAUCGCUAGUAAUCGUGAAUCAGAAUGUCACGGUGAAUACGUUCCCGGGCCUU
rnacentral:rRNA from 1 species